GCCUGAGUGGCUCAGUCUGUUGAGCUUCUGACUUCGGUUCUGGCCAUGAUCUCAUGGUUCAUGGUUCAAACCCUGCCUCAGGCU
rnacentral:tRNA from 1 species